CGGAACCAACCAUCACGGCGUUGCUUGCCGGCGACUCCAUACAAAGGUAUAGAUAUUCUUCGUAGUGGAUUGAUAUUUUGGUAAGACUGAACUUGGAUAAAGAACAGGAAGUCUUGGUAUUGUUUGUUUUGUCAAAUUUGUGGUUGAAGCGACGCGUCUUUGAGCAGCUAUACCACGGUAUCUUUACAAGGGAUGACUAGAACGAUCAACGACGAACGCUUCCUGACUGCCUGUAGAGAACAAUGAAUGCUCUGAAAUAGGCCAAACGGUCAGCAAGCUUUUCACCCUUUUAGCUAUUAUUGCUAUUUUGUUAGUGUAUUCCCAUUACCAGUCCUAAAGUUU
rnacentral:misc_RNA from 1 species